rnacentral:rRNA from 1 species
CAGCCGCCGCGGUAAUACAUAGGGGGCAAGCGUUAUCCGGAAUUAUUGGGCAUAAAGGGUGCGUAGGCGGCAUGUUAAGUUUAAGGUAUAAGCUCAUGGCUCAACCAUGGGAGGCUUUAGAAACUGGCAUGCUAGAGUGCAGUAGAGGCAAGUGGAAUUCCAUGUGUAGCGGUAAAAUGCGUAAAUAUAUGGAGGAACACCAGUGGCGAAGGCGGCUUGCUGGGCUGUAACUGACGCUGAGGCACGAAAGCGUGGGGAGCAAACAGGAUUAGAUACCCUGGUAGUCCACGCCGUAAACGAUGAGUACUAAGUGUCGGAAGAAAUUCGGUGCUGUAGCAAAUGUAUUAAGUACUCCGCCUGAGUAGUACGUGCGCAAGCAUGAAACUCAAAGGAAUUGACGGGACCCUGCACAAGCGGUGGAUCAUGUUGUUUAAUUCGAGGAUACGCGAAGAACCUUACCAGGCCUUGACAUCCUCUGCAAAGCUUAAGAGAUUAAGUGGAGGUUAACAGAGAGACAGGAGGUGCAUGGCC